CGUGGCGAUGCGAUCAUGGUGGAGGAGCUUGACAACGCGCCGUAUAGCAUUGUCUCAAGCGUAGGAGCGUAUCAUCCGAGCUAGGAGAAGGAGGCUGCCGACAAGGAGGCGUUGAUGUGAAUUAUUCCGCGCAGCCCGACAGAGUGUCCCGUAUUCAUGAUAUCUGGCCGCAACCGGUGAUCCUCGUGAGUGUGGACUGGAGCCGUUGACGAUUGCGUUUGGGCAUCACGCUGGGAUCGCCGUGUACCAUACGCUGGACGCCUUUGUCGCAUGUGCUGCUGGACCUGCCACGCAGGCGAUGCACGGUAACGGUCUCCGUUUGUGUGACGACUUGGCUGAACCGCAUGCUGAGAUGCAUGCCGUGUUAGUGUCGACAGUUGGUCUGAACCGCUCUGCGUUGUGGAUUCUGCUCAGGAACAAAAGGUAGGAAGGCCGCGGUAUGGGGGCGCGCUACAGAUGUUAUGCACUGACUUGUUUCGAUGACUGAGGGGCGACGGACCGAAUCCGUGUCGCAGCGACUGACACUAAAGUUGGAUGGGAGAACCCGCUCCUUCCUGCCUUCCGUCGUGUAGCUGUUUACCACAGUCAGAACAUUGAUGCGCAAGGUGUGCACCUCACCGGGACCGCGGCCCGUUGCUAGUGACCGUGAACGGUCAGGGCCAUUAUUGUCGGCGGCGUGCCCCUUCUGUAGCUUGACAAAAUACGCAACCCAAGGUGCUGGCGCGUCCCGGAAGUCAACAACAGGAGUAGAAUUUUGCGCGCUAAUGAGUGGAUGUCGCAGGGCUGAUGCGGCCUAUAGCCCUGCACAACGAGACGUGUCUUUCUCAGUCGUCCGCGGUGCAGUGGCCUUGGCAUCAUCAGCCAGUGUUUGAUGUUUUGCAUUAGCAUGACAGUCAUUGUCGAGAUAUGCUCUGAGUUGCUGAUGUAUCACCUUACGGCCGGUGUUCGUAUGGUGCCGGAUGAUAUAAACCAGCUGGGAAGGAAAACUGAUAACGCGUCGUAGUAUUCCUUCACGUGGAUGCGCCUACUGAUAGGCUACGAUAUCCUAUGGAAUGCGUCACUAGGGAGGCUGCGUGUCUCUGUCUUGGGUCCCUGGGUGCUGUGUCGAUGCUUUCGAUAGGCCUCGUGUCGACGCUGGCGCGGUGUUGCCUUCUGCAGCGUCCAGGGUGGCACCGUUGUCAUUGUGUUACAGGUCUACGGAACUGGCGGCCUCCUCGCAGUCCGCUUCACCAGCACACGUUCUGUAUGUGUCGGCGGGACGGUCGCGCGCGUUCAAUUUGACUUGACGGAGAUGCAUCCACCGUUGCUAGUGGAGGCAGAAGAUGAGAACGUGUCCCCUUAAGACUGAGCUAUAGCGGGAUCCUGUGAGGCAGGUUCCCUAUGGUUGGUCGUCGUGGGCGCCUGACUCUAAAUGGAGGCACACGGCAACGGAAGCGGCAACGUCCAUCCCCAACGAGCGAGUCACCACGCGAGCCAUUGGCGUCUGGUCGCAUGACUAUACGAUCGUGCCGCUGUUCUUGGCGUUCGUGGAAAAGGCGGUAGGAACCGCGUGGACGACCGAUCCCGGUGGAACUCCGAGUAGUGAAUGGUGCAUGUGGGAUCGAGUGAAUGGGGAAUCGAGUGAAUUGAGGCGUCGCGCACUCACUCUCCAAGGACGAGUGAUAACGACGUUGUGAUUAACUAUUUGUGAUUAUGUUGUUGGAGUUCGUUUUGCACCGAUGAGGGCUUUGAGUGUUUGUGUUUGUCGAACUUGUGUUGGACCACAGAAUUGAUGGUCACAGGAAGGCAAGCAGCAUUGUGGCUGAUGCGAAGGGUUAACGUGGAUUUCCUCUCGCAGCCGACUGGCGUCCGCCCCAUUUCGCUUACCGUGUCGUCAACCGGGGGUAACCGAGAGUACUGGGGGAAGCAGGUGAGGGUCUUCGUUUCGGCUGCUUCCAUAUUGAAUGCGUUGCAUUAUGACCUUGGCACAUUGGUUACGAGUGCUGCUGAAUUUCUCAGACACUCUCGACCGACGGCAACGGUCUCGGUUUGUGCGACGGCCUGGAUGAUCCGGGUGCUGGGUCGCAUGCCGUGACAUUGUCAGCUGAUGUUGCGAUCUGGUUUGCGCGGUGGAUUCUGCUCAGCAACAAAAAGUAUGGACCGCGCGCCUUGGCGGCGGGCACCAGCUGUGUGAUACCGAUGCGUUUCAACUAAAUGGGCGGUACCAAGGAAGAACCGUCACUAAACGUGUCACCAAAUGG
rnacentral:lncRNA from 1 species